rnacentral:rRNA from 1 species
UCUUGGUCCAAUUAGAGGAAGUAAAAGUCGUAACAAGGUCUCCGUUGGUGAACCAGC